UGGGGAAUAUUGCGCAAUGGGGGGAACCCUGACGCAGCCAUGCCGCGUGAAUGAAGAAGGCCUUCGGGUUGUAAAGUUCUUUCGGUAUUGAGGAAGGUUGAUGUGUUAAUAGUACAUCAAAUUGACGUUAAAUACAGAAGAAGCACCAGCUAACUCCGUGCCAGCAGCCGCGGUAAUACGGAGGGUGCGAGCGUUAAUCGGAAUAACUGGGCGUAAAGGGCACGCAGGCGGUUAUUUAAGUGAGGUGUGAAAGCCCUGGGCUUAACCUAGGAAUUGCAUUUCAGACUGGGUAACUAGAGUACUUUAGGGAGGGGUAGAAUUCCACGUGUAGCGGUGAAAUGCGUAGAGAUGUGGAGGAAUACCGAAGGCGAAGGCAGCCCCUUGGGAAUGUACUGACGCUCAUGUGCGAAAGCGUGGGGAGCAAACAGGAUUAGAUACCCUGGUAGUCCACGCUGUAAACGCUGUCGAUUUGGGGGUUGGGGUUUAACUCUGGCGCCCGUAGCUAACGUGAUAAAUCGACCGCCUGGGGAGUACGGCCGCAAGGUUA
rnacentral:rRNA from 1 species